rnacentral:rRNA from 1 species
GAUCCUGGCUCAGGAUGAACGCUGGCGGCGUGCUUAACACAUGCAAGUCGAGGGGCAGCAUGGUCUUAGCUUGCUAAGGCCGAUGGCGACCGGCGCACGGGUGAGUAACACGUAUCCAACCUGCCGUCUACUCUUGGACAGCCUUCUGAAAAGGAAGAUUAAUACAAGAUGGCAUCAUGAGUCCGCAUGUUCACAUGAUUAAAGGUAUUCCGGUAGACGAUGGGGAUGCCG